rnacentral:rRNA from 1 species
AUUGAACGCUAGCGGGAUGCCUUACACAUGCAAGUCGAACGGAGUGGCGAACGGGUGAGUAAUGUAUCGGAACGUGCCCAGUAGCGGGGGAUAACUACGCGAAAGCGUAGCUAAUACCGCAUACUAUUGGAGCGGCCGCUAUCGGAUUAGCUAGUUGGUGGGGUAACGGCUCACCAAGGCGACGAUCCGUAGGCGGUUUGAGAGGACGACCAGCCACAGGGGGACGGAGAGGCGGACCAGAAUCCGACGGGAGGAAGCAGUGGGGAAUUUUGGGCAGUGGGGGAGACCCAGUUCCAGCCAUCCCGCGUGUGCGAUGAGGGCCUUCGGGUUGUGAAGCACUUUAGGCAGGGAAGCGGUACCUGCAGAAUAAGCACCGGCUAACUACGUGCCAGCAGCCGCGGUAAUUC